CCUACGGGAGGCAGCAGUGAGGAAUAUUGGUCAAUGGACGAGAGUCUGAACCAGCCAAGUAGCGUGAAGGAUGACUGCCCUAUGGGUUGUAAACUUCUUUUAUAUGGGAAUAAAAUGUUCCACGUGUGGGAUUUUGUAUGUACCAUAUGAAUAAGGAUCGGCUAACUCCGUGCCAGCAGCCGCGGUAAUACGGAGGAUCCGAGCGUUAUCCGGAUUUAUUGGGUUUAAAGGGAGCGUAGGUGGAUUGUUAAGUCAGUUGUGAAAGUUUGCGGCUCAACCGUAAAAUUGCAGUUGACACUGGCAGUCUUGAGUACAGUAGAGGUGUGCGGAAUUCGUGGUGUAGCGGUGAAAUGCUUAGAUAUCACGAAGAACUCCGAUUGCGAAGGCAGCUUACUGGACUGCAACUGACACUGAGGCGCGAAAGUGUGGGUAUCAAACAGGAUUAGAUACCCCAGUAGUC
rnacentral:rRNA from 1 species